rnacentral:vault_RNA from 1 species
GCGCCGGUUUAGCCCAGUGGUUACUUCACUUGCCUGCGCAUGAGGCGGGCUCUUCGGAGCUCCGUCUCCAACCACGGGCGCUGCCCGGUGUUUUG